rnacentral:ncRNA from 1 species
AGGAGCCGUAUGAGAUGAAAACCUCAUGUACGGUUUUGGAACGGAGAUUUUUUGAAUAGAAUGAACGAUCGUAAC